rnacentral:lncRNA from 1 species
GUGUCUGGAGUUGUUUCUGCAUCUUCUAAUCUAUUCCACUGGUCUUCAGGUCUGUUUCUUUGCCAGUACCAUGCUGUUUUUAAUCACAGUAGCUUUGUAGUAUAGUUUCAACUUUGGGAUUGUGAUACCUCCUGCCAUGUCUCUGUUACCUAGAAUUGCUUUUGCUAUUCUGGGUCUCUUCUUGUUCCAAAUGAAUUUUUGGAUUGUUUUCUCAAGGUCUGUGAAGUAUGCAUCUGGGAUUUCAAUUGGGAUUGCAUUGAAUCCAUAUAGCAGUUUUGGAAGUAUGGCCAUUUUCACUAUAUUGAUCCUUCUUACCUAGGAGCAGGGGAUGCCUUUCCAUUUUCUGAUAUCAUCUUCAAUCUCUCUUUUCAGAGUGCUAUAGUUUUCAGAGAAGAGGUCUUUGAUUUCUUUUGUUAGGUUGAUUUCUACGUAUUUCAGUUUUUUGGAUGCUAUUGUGAAAGGAAUUGUUUGCCCUAUUUCUCUCUCAGUGAGUCUAUUGUUCAUGUAGAGGAAAGCUAUUGAUUUUUCACACCAUUUUUUUUUUUUAAGUUUUUGUCCAUUUGACAUCAGUCUGUGGUUUAUUUUCUCAGAUUAAAUACUUGUGGGAAUAUAUUUCAACCUAAAUUCUUUUUUCAUUCACAGCAUUAAUAUAUUUACCAAAUAUUUUGGUGGUUGGAAUUAAUGAAAAAUAUUCUUGGUGUUAAAGAAAUACAUCCAUCCCAAAACUUGUACAAAUCACAAUCUUAAAUCAUCAGGUGCAGAUUUGGACUUUUUUGGUAUAUCUCAAUAAGUUUUGACCAAGAACAACAAUUUGUUCUUUUAGGAAAUUUUACCAACAUGUUUUUCUGAAUUUUCACAAUUGGUAUUAUUUCAUUAUCAACCUGAUAUGGCUAUUGCUCUUAAAACUCAGUAGUAGUCACACAGGAGGUGAGCCGCUCCCAGCACCCAGGAGGAGGCUUCCAGGCCGCUGUGCCACCCCCAUCAGUGCACAGAAGGUGAGCCACGUGGGUGCCAGCAACAACCCCCCGCCCCUGUCAAAAUGAGAAGACACGUAAUCAAGUCUCAAAACCAGACUUCCAGAUCACCUAAAGCAACCCCAAAGGGAAAGGAGAUGGAACACUCUGAUACUCAACCACCUGGCCUCCCUGAACUGGCAACAAAAGAAGAUCUGGAAAAAAAUGAAAUCAGAAAUAAUUUCUCAGAUAACAGCAGAGAUUGUGCCCAUAGUGCAAGACAUGAUUAAUAAAUCUAGAGAAGACUCAGAUUAAAAAAUAGAGGAACAUGAGGAACAUGAUAGGAAACAAAUGGAAUCCAUAAAACAG